rnacentral:rRNA from 1 species
AGACGGAGGGGGCUAGCGUUGUUCGGAAUUACAGGGCGUAAAGGGCACGUAGGCGGCUCGUAAAGUCAGGCGUGAAAGCCCCGGGCUCAACCCGGGAAUUGCGUUUGAUACUGGCGAGCUAGAGUCCGGGAGAGGAUAGUGGAAUUCCCAGUGUAGAGGUGAAAUUCGUAGAUAUUGGGAAGAACACCAGUGGCGAAGGCGGCUAUCUGGACCGGUACUGACGCUGAUGUGCGAAAGCGUGGGGAGCAAACAGGAUUAGAAACCCCGGUAGUCC